CUUUUCUCUUCAGAGACAUUUUGAACAGGACUGCUGAUGUCAUGGUUAUUUUUGUCUUGAUGCAUCUUGCUGAUGCUAUUGCGGGUGUGAGUGGAGGUGUCUUUCGAGGACUUGGAAAACAAAAGGUCGGUGCUCUGUCGAACCUGAUUGGACACUACUUCAUUGGCUUUCCCAUCGGUGUGUCUUUAUUGUUUAAAACACCAUUGGGCGUCGUAGGACUUUGGAUUGGUCUUACCAUCUGUGUGGUACUGCAGGCUAUUUUCUUUAUCGCAUAUUUGUACAAUCUUGAUUGGAGAAAGGCUACCGAAGAGGUGUGUCACUCAGUUCGCUGAAAACACAAAUAUGACAUGCAAUUCAAGUGAUUUCCAUUGUGACAUAUUUGAACAUGUCUGAUCAGGCUCAACAUAGAGCAGGGGUCCGGGUCCCUGUUGAAUUCAUGGUUGAGAUGCAAGACUGCGAGCCAGGCCAACCCAUUCCUGAGCAGCAUGAAACCGCAACCACCGUCGUGGGCAAUGUUCUCUCAGUAACACAGCUGUUUUUGCGGCGUGGCUUGGUUUUACUUGUCAUGGUCAUCAUAUAUGCGGCUGGAAUCAUUGCCAGUCACUUCCUUGUUAAACUCCUGAAGUAAGUCUUGUGUUGGUUUGUAAAUGACAAUUAUCAGGUGAACACUGGAUGUCCGGAGCAUGGUUAAAGAGCUAAGUUCCAAAUUACGGAGUACUUCGAAUGAUCAUGAUCAUACUCCAUAUCAUCAAUCACUGGACCAAAGUAGUUAUAGUAUGUCCAUAACAAUAUCUGUGAAUUAUAUUGUGUUCAUUUUGUCUCAAUAAUCUCAUGCACCUUUGUUCUUUUUCUAAUGAUUCACGAUUGAGAUGAAGAGUGACCGAAAAGCCACGUGGUUCCCGAGACAAGAAGGUGAGGGUGGUUAGCAGUAUCCCUGCAACCAGCAACUCUGGGAGCUAAUUUUUGCAUUCUCAAAUGAGCACCAAUGGCAUUUGAUAUUUUUUUAAAUAGACUCCAUGAUAUGCAAAAAAACAUACAACAGGUUCCUGAAGUGGGCUACACACGAUGAUUUUUAAAAUCAUUCAUUUUUAAAUUGUGAGAG